rnacentral:rRNA from 1 species
AUUGAACGCUGGCGGCAGGCCUAACACAUGCAAGUCGAACGAGUGGCGGACGGGUGAGUAAUGUAUGGGAAACUGCCUGAUGGAGGGGGAUAACUACUGGAAACGGUAGCUAAUACCGCAUACCAUCAGAUGUGCCCAGAUGGGAUUAGCUAGUUGGUGGGGUAAAGGCUCACCAAGGCGACGAUCCCUAGCUGGUCUGAGAGGAUGACCAGCCAAACUGGAACUUGGACACGGUCCAGACUCCUACGGGAGGCAGCCGGGGGGAAUAUUGCACAAUUGGCGCAAGCCUGAUGCAGCCAUGCCGCGUGUAUGAAGAAGGCCUUCGGGUUGGAAAGUACUUUCAGCGGGGAGGCGUUACCCGCAGAAGAAGCACCGGCUAACUCCGGGCCAGCAGCCGCGGUAAUUC